UCUUUUGGAAGUAUUUCAUUAAGGAUUUUCCAUGAAUUUCUGAGAAUUCCAUUUUAUCCAAGCUAUGGGCGUUGAAAUGUCAGUACCUUUUUAUUCAAAUUUUUCCUUAUUUGAAUAUUAUGUGUUUAGAAGUGUAAAUUUGCACAAUUGAAUUUUAGUAAAUUUUUCAUACUCUAAUUAAAACAAACCAAAUUAAUUCCCCAUUGUGAUUUAAUAUAAUUGAAUGUUAAUAAUUUUUCAUGCUUUUGUAAAAAAUUUCGUCUAAAUUUCAGAUUUUUGGAGGAUCCGUCAUUAAAUUUAUGGGUUUUUUUGAUAUUUUUAUCUGAGAUUUAGUAUUUUUUUUCUUCUAGAUUUUGUAGAGUACUUCGAUUAAAUUUGUGAGUUUGGUAGUUGUAUUUUUUCUGUGCAUUUUUAGUGAACUUGGUUGUGGGUUUUGAUGUUUGUCUGCAGCAGGGAAAGGGAAGAAGAUCGUUCCAUGCCCUCCACCAGUUCCAGAUUCUCAUUGUGCCUGGCCACCUAGCGAACCAAGUGGUCUUUCAGAACCUGCAGGAGAUGAUCAAAGCGAGAUGAGUAACGGCGUCCAAGGAUGAUUUGGAGCUAGGAAAAAAUCCCUAAUUUUCUCUGCUUCUUGAGAUCGACAUGGCUUCCUCGACUAUUUUCACCGAGGUUUCUCGCUUCAAAUUGGGUUUUAUUUAAGACAAACUUAUACAUCCUAACGCAAAGGGAGAGAGUAGGCAAAUGCUGGCAUUGUUGAUAUUGGGGAGUUGAAAGUCAAGAGGAGGGGGUAAGCACGUAUUAAGUUUUUGUAUCUCAAUCUGAUCGUUUGAUUUCAAAUGCUGAUUGUCUUUCUCUUUUCCUUUUCCUUUUGUUUAUAAAGAAUCAAACUGUUUCAGUUGCUAACAGUGUGGAUCAAGUUGUGGUAAAAAGGUCCUCCGCUUAUAUGAUGAUUUAAUAUAUGAACAAUUUAGAUCAUCCGUUAAUUGACAUUUCAAUUGAAUUUUACUUUCAUAUAAUUUGCUUCACAUAAUGUAAAAACUAUUUUAAUGGUUUCAAUAGGAUGAUAUAGAACAACUAUAUUCAUUUUCUUGACUUUUUUUUUGGCAGCUCAUGAAAUACUUUUCUCGAGCCUUGGACCAAUAAGAAAGUAAAGCACAGAAGUUCUAUAUUACAUGUUAGUUUUAAUCCAUUACUAAAUUUUUUUUUUUUUUUUUUUUCAGGAAAUAAACUUUAUUAAGAUAAAGAGGACUGAACAACAACAUGAAAAGCUGAGAAUGAACAGUCGAAUACCGAGUAAAUUCCACUGCUACCACCCAACAAAUCCAAGUGCUGAAAUUUCAAUUAUUGUUCUUCAGGCCUUGGACAUUGGUAAAGAACAAAUGGUUGAUUUGCUGAGGAAGUAUGAAUCACUAGAACUAAAUACAUGAGCCUUAGAGUGUUGUAAUAUAUUGUACAAACAUGUAUCAUAAAGAUGUAAAUAUGUUUUGAUAUAGAAGUAAAUAUAUUUUAAUAUGUUUUAUAUGUUUAA